CCACGCUCGGCUAAUUUUUUGUAUUUUUAGUAGAGAUGGGGUUUCACUGUGUUAGCCAGGAUGGUCUUGAUCUCCUGACCUUGUGAUCUGCCUGCCUCAGCCUCCCAAAGUGCUGGGAUUACAGGUGUGAGCCACCGUGCCCCGCCGCAAAAUUUUUUUAAUCUUUGCCUUAAUACUUUUUUAUUUUGUUUUAUUUUGAAUGAUCAGCCUUUGUGGCCCCCUUUUGUGUCCCCCAACUUGAGAUGUAUGUUGAGACCAGUUGAAUAAAAGUGCACACCUUAAAAAAAAAAAAAAAGAACA
rnacentral:lncRNA from 10 species